UUUUUUGUGAACGCGAAGAACCUUACCAGGUCUUGACAUCCUCUAACAACUCUAGAGAUAGAGCGUUCCCCCUUCGGGGGACAGAGUGACAGGUGGUGCAUGGUUGUCGUCAGCUCGUGUCGUGAGAUGUUGGGUUAGUUCCGGCAACGAGCGCAACCCUUGAUCUUAGUUGCCAGCAUUUAGUUGGGCACUCUCAGGUGACUGCCGGUGACAAACCGGAGGAAGGUGGGGAUGACGUCAAAUCAUCAUGCCCCUUAUGACCUGGGCUACACACGUGCUACAAUGGAUGGUACAAAGGGCUGCAAGACCGCGAGGUCAAGCCAAUCCCAUAAAACCAUUCUCAGUUCGGAUUGUAGGCUGCAACUCGCCUACAUGAAGCUGGAAUCGCUAGUAAUCGCGGAUCAGCAUGCCGCGGUGAAUACGUAUCCCGGGUCUUGUACACACGCACCC
rnacentral:rRNA from 1 species